UGUCACUUCUGCUGUGCUCGUUCUUGGUGGUAGUAGUAACCAAAGCUAAAUCACAAUGGAUGUUUGGCCAAUUCUUCGGUUCAAGAGGUUAGGUGGUGAUAAGUUUUGGCCGUUUUUUGUUGGAUGUUAGGAAGGCUUUGAACUGAUGCUGAUCAGUUAACUAAUGGAAAAUCACAGCUACAAACAUGGUCUCGUCACCCUUGGUAGCAGUUCUGCAAACAGCCAAAAUUGCAUCGUGAACCCUUAUUCAAUUCCUAAAUUGCGUGGAGGAGCUUGGUUGUAGCAUGCUAGCACAUUUGCCAAAUUUAUCGCUGGAAUUCAUCUACCUUGGUGUUUUCCGAGUGUUGUCAGUUCCUGCAUGCUGUACUAAGGUGCUUCAAUCACAAAUUGAAUGUUGGUGGAACGUACCAUAGAUCAAAUCAUUACGUUUCUCAGUGGGACUAAUGGAACUUGUCAAUCUCCGCAGAUCGUCCUGGUGAAUGAGUUUGUGUGCAGUAGUUCGGCGUUUCAUGAGUAUGAAGCGGCCACGAAAUUCACCAUCAGUAUUCAGAUCAUCGUUAUAUGAUGUACUUUACGUCUAUCCCGAAUGUUAGUGUAGUCGUUGUGAAUUGCUUGUAAGGUUGUUUACUAUACACGCUAUGUAGAAUGACGCUGUUAAGGCUAGCGAUUAUGUACUGAUCUUUAAAGUGCCUAUAAUUGAGAGAAUAAGUAUUCCUAAUACAAGAUUGUACAUUGCAUCUUCAUCGAAGCCAUGAUUAUGCUUCGGUUUUACGAUGAGUGUUUGGAUAAUGGCGUCAGUGCGAGAACAUCAUUUCUUAUUCAAAUGUUGAUU